ensembl:lncRNA
GUUCCAAACAAGAAGAGAAAUAGUCUCAGGGAAUAUGAUGUAAUGUCCAAAGAUGACAAAGAAAAGGCAACUGACUCAAAGUUACUCUUGGGCAAGUCAUUUCAUCUCUCCACGACACAGUUUCCUGCCUCUUCAACAAGCGAAAAGUGUUGGACACCAGGGUUGCAUCUAACUUAAUUUUGUUUCCGAUGUUCAUUAAGAAGAAUGAUCUUCAAGCUAGGAAGGAGAGUGUAUAUACCAAAGCGCUUUAUUAUAGCCAUAGCACCGUGAGAAAAUACAGGUUGAAUUAAUAAAUGGAACAGCUACUACAAGUACACUAAAAAGUAAGGACUUUCAACCGAGACUUGGAUGAAGAUAUCAAAGGCCCACUUUUGGAAUUUACAGACAGCACAAACCUGGAUUGGGUAACUAAAAUGGCAUAGUGCAGAAACAGGAUUUGAAAAAAGCAUCACCAUAUGACUCUGACAGCCCUGAGGGAAUGUACGUUGUAGAGAGGAAAUCUACUAGAAGCUCUAGAGAAGAGUGGCAGUGGUGCCAAACCCUGACGAAGACAGAGCAACUGCAAGAGACCCUAGGAAACAGUCACAGGCAGUUUCUUCAAUGCAGGGAAAUAACACCAGUAUAAGAGCAAGCAGCACCCGACAAGCUCUGAGCAGCAGGUCAGUGCAGAUGGUGGUAGCAGCCUAGAUCUGAGAGGAGGGUUAAGAUCCAAGACCUGGGGCAAAGUGAAAGGAAAGGCCCAGGUAGCAGCUGACGGACAGAGGAGGAGCAGUAGGAGUCGCUACCCAGGAAUCUUGGGAUCUUAGGGAGGCGUGAGAACCUCAGUCCUGCAGUCCUGCAGCUGCUGGACGUAGAAGCUAACAAGGGUCUGAGUUAAGCGGCAAAGUGGUGAUUCUGUAUCUGAAAACUGGAAUUUGAGGGUGUGAAAUUCUGUAUUUUUUUUCCUUCCUUCUUUCUUUCUUUUUUUUUUUUUUACUUAUCUCACCCAAGUUUUCUAUAAUGAACAGAAAUUUCUUGUGUAUUAAAAAAAGUUAUUUUUUUUCAUAAAAUGGCAAAAAAAAAAAAAGAGCAAUCUUUGCUUGCAUUAAUAGAAAGAUAAUGUCUUGAUCUAAGGAACUCUACUCCUGGAAAUAAUAGCCACAUUCCAACCUUUGCUGAUCAGCUUACCUCCGUGCACAAUUCUGGUAUCACACUUUAAGGGCAAUAUUGAUAAAUUAGAGGGAGAAGGGGAGUGGGAAAAAGGAUGUGACACUACAUUUUUCAAAGAGUGGUUGAAAGAACUGAAAUGUCUAGCCUGGACAGGAGACUUCUGCGUGGAAAGAAGAGUAGCGAUACCUAGUACAACAUAGGUGCUUACUUCUUGUUUGUGAAUAAUCAGUAAUUAAAUAAAUGAUAUCUCUCUGACUAGAUCGUUAACUGUUUAUGAGAGGAAAUCAUGAAUUAUAGUUCCUUCUAUUCCUUCAGAGCCUAUUAUUAUGCUUUGCAUAACACUGAAGGCUCAGUAAAUAUUUAGUGGGUUAUUAUAUUUCGUUCAUAGUUUCCACCAUAGUUCUGGAGGAGAAACUGGAAGAUCCCAGGAAUUGGGAAACAAGCAAAGAAUUUUUUUUUAUCUGUUUUCUCUCUGGCUCACCCUUUACCCCUAGGCCACUUAGCACUAAAGAACUUCACCUUCUUAUUUCCAAUGACUUUCUCCUCCACUCCACUUGAUCCAGCCAUGCUCUUCAGGUUGGAACUCUCCAUUAUCCUCGACGGCUCUACCCCUAAGAUUUUAAACUCUGAAAUUCCAAUUGCAUUGUCAAACUUUCUAAACGAAUGGCCCUUCAGUGCCUCUAGCCUAAUAUGAUUAAGACUAAAUUUAUCAUCUGGUCAUCCAAACUUGUUCAUCAUUUGUUUUUUCAUCCAUCUGGUAACGGUGCCAUCGCUGACUGGUUAACUAAUGUUUAAAACCUCCAGGUCAUCACUCUGCCAAAUCCAAAUGCUCCUCCUUCACCAUACUUCAUCCCCUCAUUAUCUACUUUCCGGACUAUAAUAAUAGCAUUGUGAUUUGACUCCUUACCUCCGUCUUCACAUUGCAACAAAUCUUCCCCAUGGCUCUCAGAUUAGUUUUCUCAAUGCCUCAUUCUGAUCAUAGUACUUACUGAAAAGCCUUGCUGGCUCCCUUUCUGACUAAAUAGAACCUAAAUCCUCUGGUUUGUUACACAAAGCUUUUGAAAAGCUGAUCCUAAUCUGUCUUUUCCAGCAUGGUUUCCAACAACGUCCAUAAAUCAGUCCUCAUUUCAAGCAAAUUUUUCUAUUCAAACAUCUUCAACGCUUCUCACCUCUCAACUUUUCCAAUGUUCUUCAAGUCUUCCUUCAAACUCCAUCCCUGCCUGGUAGCCUGCUCUAAUCCUUGCUCCUCUGAGUCAAAAAAGUAAAUUUCUCCUCCUCGGAACUUCUAAUCACUUUUUUCUCUCUUACUACUCUUACCUCUUCCUCAUAUUUUCAUAGGAAUGUAUAAAUUUAGCUGUUUUUUCAUAACAAAGUACAUAAUAUAGUAAAACCUUACAUUAUACAUCCUGUGUUAGUCAUUCAUGCAACGAUUUAAAGUAUUUAUUGAACACCUCAUAUGUACUAGGUGAUGAGGAGAAGUAAUGAACAAGUAGGAUUUGUCCCUGCUCUCUAGGGCUUAAUCCAGCAUGCAACACUGUUGAUAAGCAAAUGACUAAUAAGUACUGAUUAAUUAAAAUUAUGAUCAAUACUAAAAACAAAAAGUAUGCCGUGUUAUAUGAAUAUAUAGGAAAUGGACAAAUAAGACAACAUUGGUUUAUAAUCCAAAACCAAAGCCUUUCAAAAUGGAGCUGUGUUCAGUCUAACUUAAAAGUAUUUGCUAGUUUAGCAACUGUUUUAGAAACUGUUAGAAACUGUUUUCCCUGAUUUAUAGCGUGAUCUGUCUACUGUGAGUAAAGACAAUAAUAUCUGAGGGACAGAAUAGGAAACUGAAUUCCCACUCUCGGGCAAGCAUAACUCGGGAGUUUAGCUGCAAACCUAAGGCAGAAGGUUAAUACUGCCUUUUUCUUCCUGUUGUUUUACUCUAGAGUAGCUAUUUUCUGCUUUUACCAGUUGCAUGGAGCCAUCCAUCAUGGCCAGUAAUCUCCAACAAAAUAAGAAGAACAAAAAUAUAAAGAGGCAAGUGAUUCAUCACCAAGCGUGAUGCCAGCUGUAAGGGAAAAAGCCCCUUCUGACUUGGAGCUGGCAGGCACAAUAGCACAUUAUUCUCAAAGGAGCUUGACUUGAAAUUUCUGAAUGGGCUUACCACCAGUCUCAGCUGGCAGCCUACUGUGCAUGCAUAGGCAUGUAAACUCUGCAGAUAUACUGUUUUUUUUUUAUAUUGAGACUGUUCCUGGUAUUUCUAUAAGGUUAGAAUUUUAUUUUUGUUUUCUUCCAUGGAAUUAAUGCUUCUAACUGUGAAAGUAUUAAAUUCCCUCCGACACUUUUAAACAAGGGCUUUUGCUUUUUCAAACACAAGUUACCAUAUGUAUUUUGGCACCUCUGAUUGUCAGUACAUAAGUACCGAGAAUAAUAAAUUACAGGCAGUUGAUAGUCAUGUAAAUGGAAGCAAGACGGCCACCACCACAGCCACUUUUAUAAUGUGCCAUGUGGGUGAAAGAAGGGACACUAGGACAGAAGGCAACAUUCUAGGUAGAGACUGCCCCAUUGGGAAUGAGACUUCCUAACAGAAUCACCCAUACAAAAGGUUACCAGGGAGAAUUAGUUAUUCUAUGGCCCUGAAUUGAAAGGAAAAUGUAGUGAACUAAUAAAAGCCAUUCUUGUUGUGUCCUAUAAUUCAAUGUCGUUUACACCUCCCUAAGGACUAUGAAGAACACAUAGGUCAUAUAGGAAAUCUUCCCAGUGAGCCGUGAAUGUUGCCUCUGCAACAAGGAGUAAAGAAGGAAUGGAAAAAUAAAAUAUGCUUUUCCAUGCAUUUCUUCCUUUUCCUUAGGAAAAAAAUAAAGAAUUUUUGUGGCCAGCAUAUUGGAAACAUUGUGGAAGAAUAGUUCCUCUUCACAUAAAGGUUACCUCUGUAAAGCUGCCAAGGUCAGAACCCUGGUGGGUUAUCUGCCAAGUCAGUGCCAGUUGUGGGAUCUAUACUGUGGCAGGCGUGGAGGCAGGCUUCGUUCUCCCACCCUCCUGAUGAAUCACCGUUCUUUGCUCCUUUGUACCAGUUGCCACUUUUCCCACUCUCUGCCCUCCCUUCUCAUUGGAGAGACCUCUUUCCUCACAUAUGAGCUGAAUGUUCCGUUGUUUGCCAGGAAGCCAGGCUUGCUGAAUGCUGAUUUCAUGGAAGUCACACAAGAGAGGCAAACAGUAAUUUUCCAAGUAAUCUACAUAAAAAGUGACCUUACAAGACACAAAGUGCUCAGCUUGGUGCACGAUGCAUCAUUUGAGCUAUUUUAAAGGAGGA